rnacentral:lncRNA from 1 species
UUCAAAAGAACUACUCGAACAGCCACUGCCUCAAGGGACGUUUGGAGUGUUUGGGCAACAACGUGAAUACGCAGCUUGGUCGCCAUCACAGUUCACACAGUGUGGAGUUUGAGUACGGGUGUCCGAGGCAUGGCCUUGGACACCACAUUUUGCACAGAUAACAUUGCCUUGAUGAGUAACUUAAGGGUGAAUUGCAAAUCAUGAUUACUGAAUUGGACAAAGAACGCAGAAUGGGAAUUACAAGGAAUCCAUGACUUUCUAC